UGGGAUGACGUCAAUCAUCAUGCCCUUAUGACCUGGGCUACACACGUGCUACAAUGGUUGGUACAACGAGUUGCGAGUCGGUGACGGCGAGCUAAUCUCUUAAAGCCAAUCUCAGUUCGGAUUGUAGGCUGCAACUCGCCUACAUGAAGUCGGAAUCGCUAGUAAUCGCGGAUCAGCACGCCGCGGUGAAUACGUUCCCGGGCCUU
rnacentral:rRNA from 1 species